UACGAAGGGUGCAAGCGUUAUUCGGAAUCAUUGGGCGUAAAGCGCGCGCAGGCGGAUUGAUAAGUCAGGUGUGAAAUCUCGGGGCUCAACCUCGAAACUGCGCCUGAAACUAUUAGUCUAGAGUGUCGGAGGGGGCAGGGGAAUUUCACGUGUAGGGGUAAAAUCCGUAGAGAUGUGAAGGAACACCGGAGGCGAAGGCGCCUGCCUGGACGACUACUGACGCUGAGGCGCGAAAGCGUGGGGAGCAAACAGG
rnacentral:rRNA from 1 species